UCUUGCGCAAUGGGCGAAAGCCUGACGCAGCAACGCCGCGUGCGGGAAGAAGGCCUUCGGGUUGUAAACCGCUGUCAGGAGGGACGAAGCCACUCAGGUGAAUAGCCGAGAGGGUGACGGUACCUCCACAGGAAGCCCCGGCUAACUACGUGCCAGCAGCCGCGGUAAUACGUAGGGGGCUAGCGUUGUCCGGAAUCAUUGGGCGUAAAGCGCGUGUAGGCGGCUUGCCAAGUCCGAUGUGAAAGCUCGGGGCUCAACCCCGAGUCUGCAUUGGAAACUGGCUUGCUUGAGUCCGGAAGAGGAGACUGGAAUUCCUGGUGUAGCGGUGAAAUGCGCAGAUAUCAGGAAGAACACCGGUGGCGAAGGCGGGUCUCUGGGACGGUACUGACGCUGAGACGCGAAAGCGUGGGGAGCAAACAGG
rnacentral:rRNA from 1 species